GGAUAUCUCUUCACGGAGGCGCUCAUAUUGAUCUACAAUCAACACUUGGCAUUGCGAGCUUACAAAUUACUUCGCCAAUAAUCUUUACUUAUCAAGAACUAGCAGAGGCAACAAAUCAUUUCUCUAACAAAUACAUGCUUGGAGAAAGUGGUUUUGGUAUAGUUUAUAAGGGAUCCCUUGGAAAUAAUGGGAUCGUUGCAAUUAAGAAGCUUAAAUAUCUUGGCGAAGAACAAAGCACAAGUGAAUUUGAGGAAGAGAUUAAGGCCAUUAGCCGCAUCUGUUACCAACAUCUUGUCAAGCUUAUUGGAUACUGCAUUGAAGGAUUCAAUAGAUUGCUUGUUUCUGAGUUUGUUCCCAACAAGUCCUUGCGAUUUCAUUUACAUGAAAAUAUGAGAGAAACUAUCAGUUGGUCAACCAGAAUGACAAUUGCCAAAGAUAUUGCAAAAGGAUUGACAUAUUUACAUGAAUGGUAUAAGCCGAAAAUCAUACAUGGAAAUAUUAAGGCGGAUAACAUUCUUCUUGAUAAUACUUUUGAACCUAAGAUUUCAGAUUAUGGAUUAGCCAAAGAGAAUGUGGACCUUUCAGAUUCUUAUAUUCCCACUAUCUAUAAUUUGAAAGGAAAUUCGGGUUAUUUGGCUCCUGAGUAUAUCAAUGAUAGGAAGCUUACGGAUAAGUGUGAUGUCUUUUCCUUUGGUAUCAUACUUCUGGAGUUGAUUACUGGAAAAAGAGCUGUUGAAAAUGAAGGUGGUUUUCACAAUAGCUUGUCUAUUAGGGCAGUGCCUCUACUCAAACGAGCUUUGGACAAAGGCAAUUAUAAUGAUAUUAUUGAUGCCAAAAUACAAGGCGUAUAUAAUGAAGAUGAAAUGAUUAGAAUGAUUUACUGUGCUGCAUCUUGUGUGUAUAAACCAGCGGAUUAUCGCCCACGAAUGAGUCAGAUACUUGAAGUCCUACAAGGGAAUGUCCCUAAGGAAAGCAUAUGGUUAAGCAAUGACAACACUUACCUUUACCUUGGAGCACCGUUUGUACAUACCAAAUAGGAAAGUUCUUAGAUAUAUUAGGGUGUAAAUUAUUUUAUACACCCAAUCAAUGAAAAAAUCAUGUUUUAUAAUAGAACUUACCAUAUUUUAUUAUAGAAUCCGCCAUUAUUUUAGGUCAAUUCUUAAUGAGGUGGAUACAUCCAAGGUGUAGACAAGAAUCACUCACCCAUUGAAAUUUUAGGUUUAGAACUCUACCCAAGGUCUGCUGAGUUGAUAAGGCUCCUCAAAUGCAAUUAAUAUUACCAUCUCUUUUCAUAUAUCCUCAUCAAUAUGUAUUGUUUUUUUCCGG
rnacentral:misc_RNA from 1 species